rnacentral:rRNA from 1 species
GUGCCAGCGCGCCGCGGUAAUACCGGCAGCCCGAGUGAUGGCCGAUCUUAUUGGGCCUAAAGCGUCCGUAGCCAGCCGAACAAGUCCGUUGGGAAAUCCACCCGCCUAACGGGUGGGCGUCCAGCGGAAACUGUCCGGCUUGGGGCCGAAUGACCCGACGGGUACGUCCGGGGUAGGAGUGAAAUCCCGUAAUCCUGGACGGACCGCCGAUGGCGAAAGCACGUCGCGAGAACGGAUCCGACAGUGAGGGACGAAAGCCAGGGUCUCGAACCGGAUUAGAAACCCCUGUAGUCC